rnacentral:rRNA from 1 species
GAUGAACGCUGGCGGCGUGCCUAAUACAUGCAAGUCGAGCGAACGGACGCGAAGCUUGCUUCUCUGAUGUUAGCGGCGGACGGGUGAGUAACACGUGGAUCACCUACCUAUAAGACUGGGAUAACUUCGGGAAACCGGAGCUAAUCCCGGAUAAUAUUUUGCACCGCAUGGUUCAAAAGUGAAAGACGGUCUUGCUGUCACUUCUCGAUGGAUCCGCGCUGCAUUAGCUAGUUGGUAAGGUAACGGCUUACCAAGGCAACGAUGCAUAGCCGACCUGAGAGGGUGAUCGGCCACACUGGAACUGAGACACGGUCCAGACUCCUACGGGAGGCAGCAGUAGGGAAUCUUCCGCAAUGGGCGAAAGCCUGACGGAGCAACGCCGCGUGAGUGAUGAAGGUCUUCGGAUCGUAAAACUCUGUUAUUAGGGAAGAACAUAUGUGUAAGUAACUGUGCACAUCUUGACGGUACCUAAUCAGAAAGCCACGGCUAACUACGUG